AACGCGAAGAACCUUACCCAGACUUGACAUGCAGAUGACGAUACUAGAAAUAGUAAGUUCCUUCGGGACAUCUGCACAGGUGCUGCAUGGCUGUCGUCAGCUCGUGCCGUGAGGUGUUUGGUUAAGUCCAGCAACGAGCGCAACCCUUAUUACUAGUUGCCAACACGUAAAGGUGGGAACUCUAGUGAGACUGCCUGGGUUAACCAGGAGGAAGGUGAGGAUGACGUCAAGUCCGCAUGGCCCUUAUGUCUGGGGCUACACACGUGCUACAAUGGUAGGUACAGAAGGCAGCGAAUCCGCAAGGUGAAGCAAAUCCCCAAAACCUAUCCCAGUUCAGAUUGUAGUCUGCAACUCGACUACAUGAAGACGGAAUUGCUAGUAAUGACGAGUCAGCAACAUCGUCGUGAAUACGUUCCCGGGCCUUGUA
rnacentral:rRNA from 1 species